rnacentral:rRNA from 1 species
AUUGAACGCUGGCGGCAGGCCUAACACAUGCAAGUCGAGCGAGCGGCGGGCGGGUGGGUAAUUUCUGGGAAACUGCCUGAUGGAGGGGGAUAACUACUGGAAACGGUAGCUAAUACCGCAUACCAUCAGAUGUGCCCAGAUGGGAUUAGCUAGUAGGUGGGGUAACGGCUCACCUAGGCGACGAGCCCUAGCUGGUCUGGGAGGAUGACCAGCCACACUGCAACGGAGACACGGUCCAGACUCCUACGGGAGGCAGCAGUGGGGAAUAUUGCACAAUGGGCGCAAGCCUGAUGCAGCCAUGCCGCGUGUGUGAAGAGGGCCUUCGGGUUUUAAUGCACUUUUAGCGGGGAGGCGUUACCCGCUGAAGAAGCACCGGCUAACUCCGUGCCAGCAGCCGCGGUAAUUC